UACGUAGGGUGCAAACGUUGCUCGGAAUCAUUGGGCGUAAAGCGCACGUAGGCGGCUCGUUAAGUCGGAUGUGAAAGCCCUGGGCUUAACCCAGGAAGUGCAUACGAAACUGGCGAGCUUGAAUAUGGAAGAGGGUCGCGGAAUUCCCGGUGUAGAGGUGAAAUUCGUAGAUAUCGGGAGGAACACCAGUGGCGAAGGCGGCGACCUGGGCCAAUAUUGACGCUGAGGUGCGAAAGCGUGGGGAGCAAACCGG
rnacentral:rRNA from 1 species